GCGGCGGCGGUGCAGGAGCGGGGCCGGUGCUGGGCCGAGCGGAGUGGAGCGGAGCCGAGAUGAACGUGGUGCUGGCCGUCAAGCAGUAUGUGUCCAAGAUGAUCGAGGACAGCGGGCCGGGCAUGAAGGUGCUUCUGAUGGACCGAGAGACGACCGGCGUGGUCAGCAUGGUGUACACGCAGUCCGAGAUCCUGCAGAAGGAGGUGUACCUCUUCGAGCGCCUCGACUCCGGCAACAGGGAGCCCAUGAAGCACCUGAAGGCCAUCUGCUUCCUGCGGCCCACCAAGGAGAACGUGGAGUCCCUCAUUCAGGAGCUGCGGAGGCCCAAGUACAGCAUCUACUUCAUCUAUUUUAGCAACGUGAUCAGUAAGAGUGAUGUCAAGUCAUUAGCUGAGGCUGACGAGCAGGAGGUUGUGGCUGAAGUUCAGGAGUUCUACGGCGAUUACAUUGCAGUCAAUCCCCACGUGUUUUCUCUCAACCUCCUGGGCUGCUGCCAGGGUCGCAGCUGGGAUCCAGCUCAGCUGUCCAGGACCACGCAGGGGCUGACUGCUCUGCUCCUGUCUCUGAAGAAGUGCCCCAUGAUCCGGUACCAGCUGUCCUCGGAGCCGGCCAAGAGGCUCGCUGAGUGUGUCAAGCAAGUGAUCACUAAAGAGUAUGAGCUGUUUGACUUCCGGCGCACCGAGGUUCCUCCUUUACUGCUCAUCCUGGACCGGUGUGACGAUGCCAUCACCCCACUGCUGAACCAGUGGACGUACCAGGCCAUGGUGCACGAGCUGCUGGGGAUCAACAACAACCGCAUCGACCUGUCGCGGGUGCCGGGGAUCAGCAGGGACCUGCGGGAGGUGGUUCUGUGCGCCGAGAGCGACGAGUUCUACGCCAACAACAUGUACCUGAACUUUGCAGAGAUUGGCAGCAACAUCAAGAAUCUGAUGGAAGAUUUCCAGAGGAGGAAGCCCAAGGAGCAGCAGAAGCUGGAAUCCAUCGCAGAUAUGAAGGCGUUUGUGGAGAAUUACCCCCAGUUCAGGAAGAUGUCAGGCACCGUGUCCAAGCACGUGACCGUGGUGGGAGAGCUCUCCAGGCUGGUGGGGGAGAGGAACCUGCUGGAGGUGUCUGAAGUGGAGCAGGAACUGGCCUGCCAGAACGACCAUUCCAGUGCUCUGCAGAGCGUGCGCAGGCUGCUGCAGAGCCCGCGGGUGAGCGAGCUGGACGCCGUGCGCCUCGUCAUGCUCUACGCCCUGCACUACGAGCGGCACAGCGGCAACGGCCUCCCCGGCCUGAUGGCAGAGCUCAAGAACAAGGGAGUGUCAGAGAAAUACAGGAAGCUGGUGUCUGCUGUUGUGGAGUACGGAGGGAAGCGGGUCCGGGGCAGUGAGCUGUUCAGCCCCAAGGAUGCUGUGGCCAUCACCAAACAGUUCCUCAAAGGACUGAAGGGUGUUGAGAAUGUGUACACCCAGCACCAGCCCCUGCUUCAGGAGACACUGGAUCAGCUCAUCAAGGGAAAGCUCAGGGACAGCCAGUACCCCUACCUGGGGCCCAACACUCUCAGAGACAGGUGAACAAAACUUGGCACAGAAGUGUCUUGCCUGUGGAGCUCUUUUCUCAAGCAGGUGCCCUGGAGAGGGCUCAUUAAAACUGAGAGUUGUCUUUUCUUGCUGGCCAACUCGUGACAUUCCCAUUGCAAAGGCUCAGGUAAGGGGUAAAGCCAUUGCUGCCAGGAUGUCUCAGGAUGGAUUUCAGCAUGGCCCUUGACUUCACUCCCUGCAAUCUGCUGUUUGUUUGUAGAGUACCAAAAAUAGUGCAACUGCAAGCUCUCCCUUCUGAGCCAGUUGCUAUUCCUGAGGAGAAUGGGAUUGUGCUGAAUGUGGCUAAUAGCUGUAAUUGAAAAGAUCUCUCUGGAUGUAGCUGACUUUGCUGGAGCUAAGCUCAUCUGUUGUCUGAGGAGUCAUUACAGCAUCAGCUUGCAGCAUGUGAUGUGGAAGCAGUUGGCUCUGUGCUUUUUCAGCUGAGCUCACACACACUGCCCUGAAGAUGAGGGAGAGCUGUGCUCCUCCUGAAUCACAGAGGUAUAUAUGAGGUUGUCUGGUGCAGGUUGUGUUUUGGGGAUGGUUUCUAAAGGCACAGCUCUGGCCAUGUCCCUGUUUGCCCAAGGAAAUGGCUUUUCUCCUCCUGUCUGGAGUGUUGUGACUGUUUUGCUGUUAAAUCAGGAGUUAACCUGAGGAGAGCCACAGCCACAGAUUGGCUCUGAGAGCUGAGGGGUGUGUUGCUGUGGAUUCUUUCCCUCUAAUCCCAUCACAGUCUCAGAGCUUCUUCCUAGUCCAAAGUUGCUUGUUACUUGCCCUUGACAUGAGCAGCAGCUCCUGGGCACUCGAGGCCAAUGCCAAGGUCCUUUGUCCUUUCUGUGGCAGUGACUUCCCUGACUCUGGCCCUGGGCAAUCUGCAGGGUCAGUGCUGGUGCCUGGAGUGGGGCAGAGGCUGCAGCUCUGUGCCCUGAGCUCUCCUGCUGAGGAGCUGCCACCUCGUGUGAGUGUUCAGGAGAGUCGCUGUUUGAGAAGCCAUUGAGCAGGUUCCACCUCCGUGAGCCCGGAGCCCGGCACCUCCAGCGGCACAGUGGCCUCAGCACCCCUCAGGGGUUCAGCAUUUAGCCCUGUGUCUUGCCUGCUCCUGUCCCACCACUC